rnacentral:lncRNA from 1 species
AGGAGAAACUUGAUAAUCAAAUGACAGUCACAACAGAGAACUCUUUUGAUGCUCUCACGCAAGAGAAGAUCACACAGGCAGAUGUCAACAUAGACAACAGUUCCAAUACAAAGCAAGACAAGGGGGUAGAAAACGAGCAGCCCAUGUCAGCAAAAGAAUGGGUAAUCAGGUCCUUUGGAAAGGUUUUGCAAGGAGAAGCCUCGACGUCUACAAUUCCUGUGCAGCAUGACAAUAUGGAUCAAAAUCAGCAACACAAUACACAUGAAAAUGAGCAUGGCAAUGAAAAUCAUGAAUCAGUUAAUAUGGAAGAUAAACAACAAACCUGUAGAGAUAGUUGGGCAGUGGUAGUUUAUAACAAACACAACAAUCAAUUUCCUCAAAUCUACAAUGAAAAGAGAAGGGAAGAUAGAGGGAAUAUUGAUAAUAAGUUGGCAAUAGUAGUUGAUCCUACAGAUUGUCAAAUUAAAGAAGCACAAAUCCUGGCUAUAAGGGAAUUUCCAAAUAAAGUUCUCUAUGAUAUUAUCACUCACAAUGUGGAGGAAAAUGCAUUGUUGGAGAUAGAAGGCCUUGGAGUGACUACUAAAGUAAGCAAGGAAGAUGAUGAUGAUGUUUUGGCUCACAUAGACAAAGAGGCAGAUUUAUCUCCUAGAAUCUUGAAGGCUGCAAGAAAAGAGAAGAAACAAGGGAAUGGAGAUAGUGCUCAACCCAUCAGAAUACAACCAAAGAGAUAUAAAGCUUAUAAUAGAUGAUGAAAUCAUUUAUUUGGAAUAUAAGGUCAGUGAAGUCACAACAAGCGUUUCAAAGGGUUCAAAUGUUACACAAUUUUCACAAGUUCUCAUUUAUUGCUCUCCUAGAGCCUUUUCAAGACAGUAGACAUAUAAACAAGUAUAGAAGGAGGUUAAGAAUGCCUUUUGUUACUUCUAAUUGUAAUGGAAAAAUAUGGGUCUUUACUAAUCAUGAUUUUGACAUUAUAGUUGUUAGUAACACAGAUCAACAGUUGACUCUUAAUUUAAAGCACCAGACUCAACAACACAAUUUUUAUGUUACUAUUGUGUAUGCCAAAUGUAGUGCUGUUGAAAGAGUAUCGUUGUGGGAGGAUAUAUAUCACUUGACAGAUGACAUGAAUAGCUCUUGGCUUAUUGGAGGAGAUUUUAAUGUUGUAUUGAAUGCUGAAAAAAAGAUAGGGGGUCUGCCGGUGGAAGAUAUUGAUCAUGAGGAUUUUGAUUGUUGUAUUGAAACCUGUGAAUUAUAUAAAGUUCAAUACAAAGGGAGUCCAUUUACAUGGUGGAAUGGUAGAGCAGGUAGUGAUUGUAUAUUUGAGAGGUUGGACAGAAUACUCAUCAAUUAAGAGGUGAGUAAUUGGUUCAAUCACAUUGAGGUGGAACAUUUACCAAGGACUGGAUCAGACCAUGCCCCUAUGUUUAUUACUUGUGAAGAAACCAACCCUAUAAAGAAGAAACCUUUCAGGAUCUUAAAAUUCUGGAUAGAGCACAAAGAGUUUAGGAGGUCGUGAGACAUAAUUGGGUUGCUAAUACUAUUAAUCCUUUUAUAGCUUUUAAGGAGAAUAUUAAAAGGGUUAAAACUGUUCUAACUAGAUGGAGCAAGGAUACAUAUGGAGACAUUUUCAAACAAUUAAUCAUCAGGGAGGAUAUAAUGAGAAUCAAAGAGAAAUUGUUUGCAGAUGUGCCAAAUGAAAUUAAUAGAGCAGUUUUGCAGAAGGCUGAAGCUGAAUUUAAAAGAUAUAUUCACUUUGAAGAAAUCUAUUGGCAACAAAAAGCUGGAUAUGAAUGGUUUGAUAAUGGAGAUAGAAAUACCAGAUUUUUUCAUAGUAUAGUAAAGGGAAGAAGAAAAAGGCUACACUUGCAAAGAAUUCAUAACAGACAGGGGGUAUGGUUUGAAGAAGAAAAGGCUAUAGCGGUUGAAUCCAUUGACUUUUAUCAAAAGCAAUUCACACAAGAGAGGGAUGCUAAUUUUCCUUUACUAAGGCAUAUUCCCACUUUGAUUAAUGCGGAGGAAAAAUCAGUUUUAUGCAGAAUGCCAGAAUUAGAAGAGGUAAAGAAUGUUGUAUUCAAGCUUAAUGGAGACGGUGCUAGUGGUCUUGAUGGUUUGACAGGGAUAGUUUACCAAAGUUGUUAGGACAUUAUUGGCAUUGAUAUUCUAGCUAUGGUACAUGAUUUCUUUCAAGGUAAUUCUUUACCACAGUCCAUUACUCAUACCAACCUAAUUUUGUUACCAAAGAAAGAUAAUGUACAGUCCUUUUCAGAUUUGAGGCCAAUCAGUUUGAGUAAUUUUAUUAAUAAGGUCAUCUCUCGAAUUGUGCAUGAUAGACUUGAGUCUCUGCUUCCAAGGUUGAUUUCAAGUAAUCAAUCUGGUUUUGUGAAAGGGAUAAAUAUCAUUGAAAAUGUUCUGCUGACUCAAGAGAUUGUUACAGAUAUUAGAAAAAAAGGUAAGCCUGAUAAUGUGGUAAUUAAGCUUGAUAUGGCCAAAGCUUAUGAUAGAGUAUCAUGGUUUUUUUUAAUGAAAGUAUUAAGAAAAAUGGGCUUCUCAAAUGAUUUGGUUGACAUAAAUUGGAGAUUGAUUUCCAAUAAUUGGUACUCUAUACUAAUUAAUGGACAAUCACAUGGCUUCUUUCAUUCAACCAGAGGAGUGGAACAAGGAGAUCGUCUAUCUACGGCAUUAUUUAUUCUAUCAGUGGAGGUUUUAUCUAGGUCUUUGAAUGCUUUGUUUGAUGAUGUGCAAUAUGUAGGGUAUAGUUUACCAAAGUGGAGUGCACAAAUUAACCACCUGGCUUAUGCAGAUGAUACCAUCAUUUUUGCCUCUACUGAUAAUUACUCAUUGAAUAAGAUAGUUGAUACUUUGCAGGAAUAUGAAGGGGAAUCUGGACAGCAAAUUAAUAAAGAGAAAAGUGCAUUUUAUCUUCAUCAAAGUACUGCCACAAAUAUGAGAGUAGUGGUGGAGGAAUGUACAAGUAUGUCUAGGGGUCACUUCCCUUUAAAAUACUUAGGUUGUCCCAUAACUCAUGCUAGGAAAAGAAAAGAGCAUUAUGCAGAUCUCAUCAGAAGGGUGAAAGAUAAACUUCAGGUUUGGAAAGGUAACAUGCUCUCUUUUGGGGGUAAAGAAGUUUUGUUGUCUAGUGUGUUACAAAGCAUUCCUAUUCAUGUACUUUCUGCUAUUGUUCCUCCGAAUUGUGUGAUGAAAUAACUUCAUAGAAUUUUUGCAAAAUUUUAUUGGAGUAACAAGCUUACAGGUAGAAGCAAACAUUGGGCUGCAUGGGAAAAUGUGUGCUUGCCAAAAAAUGAAGGAAGUUUGGGUUUUAGAUUUAUGGUUGAUGUAUCUAAAGCUAUGUAUGCUAAGCUUUGGUGGAAAUUUAGAACUCAAAAUUCACUAUGGACAAAUUUCAUGCAGAAUAAGUAUUGUAAGAAGCAAAUUCCCACACUUGUUCAAUGGAAAGGUGGCUCACAAGUGUGGAAACAAAUGUUGGAAAAUAGAGAAAUAAUAGAACAAAACUUGUGGUGGGAACCUAAAGGAGGAACAUCAAGUAUUUGGUUUGACAAUUGGACUAAUCUUGGUCCUUUGUUUCUACAUCUUACAGAAGUGCAAGGUUGCCAUUCUUUGGAUGAUAUUGAGGUUUUUUUUAAGGAUACUGGAUGGGAUUAUAAUAUUAUGCAAGAGUAUUUACCUAAUCAUAUUGUGGAUCAUGUGAGACAAAGUAUGAGCAGGGUAAGACAAUCAAAUCAAAUGGAUAAACAUUGGUGGAUAAAAUCUAGUACUGGCAAGUUCACUGUAAAGUCUGCAUGGGAGAUUUUUAGAAGUAGAGAUGAAGUUUCUGAAAACUUUAAGAGAAUUUGGGUGAAGGGGCUACCUUUCAAAAUUUCUUUCUUUGGUUGGAGGGUAUGGACUUACAGAGUUCCUAUUGCUGAUAUCAUUUCUUCAUGGAAUCCUAACAUUUCUCCCUUAUGUCAGUGUUGCAGGGUUCCUAUAAGAGAAACUAUUGAACAUCUUUUUCUGUUAGGUGAAGUGGCAACUUAUAUUUGGGAUCAUUAUGUAAGGGCUGCUGGUAUACUAGGUCCUUGGAUACAAGUUAAAUAUACCAUGAAAAAGUGGUGGGUGGCACAAGGUAAUACUAGGCUGAGAAUGGUUUUUCAAGCAGUUCCUAACAUUAUUCUGUGGUUUCUAUGGAAGAGGAGGAAUACUAUCUUACAUGGAGGGGUCUAUAUUAGAAACAAGGUAAUUUGGGAUAUCAAUGCUACUAUCCACAAGUUUAUUAGGUCUAAUUUUCACUUUGAUCAUAUUCCUAAUACUUGGCCUCAUAUGGUAGCUCUUCUGGAAAGGUUCAGACAUGUGGUUCAUUCUAAAAUUGUUAAAUGGAUUCCUCCUCCUAUAGACUGGCUGAAAUGUAAUACGGAUGGGGACUCUAGAGGGAACCCAGGUCUCAGUGCUUCUGCUUUUUGCUUAAGAAAUCAUAAAGGCAAGUUUUUGGGGGCUAAGGGGAUGAAAAUUAUUGAUUCCACAACUUUAGUGGCUGAAGCUAAGGCUAUAAGUGAAGGUUUACAAUAUUGUUUAGAGAAUCAUUACUCUAACAUUAUUAUUGAGACUAAUUCUUUGGCAAUGGUUAACAUCAUUAAUGGAGUCUAGAAAAUUCCUUGGAGUGUGAGUAUUGAGGUUGGCUCAAUUCACAGAAUAAGAGAUCUCAUUUCAGUAAGAGUACAACACUCCUUAAGGGAGGGAAAUACUCUUGCUGAUUUUUUGCUAACUUGGUUUUCAAUUUUGCAGGUACAUAUUAAUUUAAGUCAGAUCAAGAUGUUCCUAGUGAAGGCAGGAAAAUUAUCAUGAUGGACAAAGGAAACACUCCUUACAUUAGGACAAAACAAAUCAGCAGUUCUACUCAAUAGGAGACUGAUUUUUUAGGACUAUUCCUACAAUGUUACUAUCUGAAUCUUAAGUGAAGCUAUACGUAUUAAAAUUAUUGGGAAUGUUUUAAGUCUGAAGCAAUUUCAUUUGGUUGACAGUACUUGCACCUGGUGAGAGCUUUGAGGUGUUCAUAUGGUACUAAAUCAGGACUUUAAACGUUCAAAUAGUUAAUUAUCUAUAAGCUUAGCUAUAUUCGGGUACCUAUAUCACUGAUUGAAUAGAGCUUUGAAAUUAUUAUCGAUGGCAAUAUCUAAACUUUUAUUGGUGGUAUUAAUUCCAUAUGUGGAAUUCACUCCAUUGAAGUAUAGAUAUUAAGAUUGAAAUAAUUUCUACUAUUACGAGCUUACCUGGUAUAGUCGACUGCGGUUAGCUACAAGCGUCAUUUUCAAAUUUGACCGGGGUCACCAAGAAGACACAACUUUAACAAUGAAAUCUUUGGGAUUUCUAAUCGUUUUUAGCACUUAUUGGCUAUAGAAGAGGCAGAUACAACUCUCGAACCUCCAGAUGAACAGAUCGGGUGGAGCUUCAUCUGCAGAGGAGAUGAAUCCCAAACUCGAUCACUAAUUCUUUGAUCUGUGAUUACAUGAAGUUCAUCUUGGUGGGCUGACCUCUGAAUCGAAGGUGAAUGGCAGCAUUUGAGCUUGGUUGAAAACUUCAUCCUAGCUUUGUCCCUUCAUUUCCAUCGGUGAUAUCCAUCUCCACUUCGCUAAUUUUCUUAGCUGAUUUUUGUUUGUUUUAUUCUUUAUUUUGGGCUGUCACUUUUGGACCAGACCCUUGUAAAUAGUUGUUUAUUUUCAAUAAUAGGGCCUUAGAGCCCAUCUUUGAUUUUU